rnacentral:rRNA from 1 species
UGGGGAAUCUUGCGCAAUGGGCGAAAGCCUGACGCAGCGACGCCGCGUGUGGGAUGAAGGCCUUCGGGUUGUAAACCACUGUCGGGAGGGACGAAUACAUUGACGGUACCUCCAAAGGAAGCACCGGCUAACUCCGUGCCAGCAGCCGCGGUAAUACGGAGGGUGCGAGCGUUGUCCGGAAUCACUGGGCGUAAAGGGCGCGUAGGCGGCCUGAUAAGUAGGGGGUGAAAUCCUGCGGCUUAACCGCAGGGCUGCCUUCUAAACUGUCAGGCUCGAGCACAGUAGAGGCAGGUGGAAUUCCCGGUGUAGCGGUGGAAUGCGUAGAGAUCGGGAAGAACAUCGGUGGCGAAGGCGGCCUGCUGGGCUGUUGCUGACGCUGAGGCGCGACAGCGUGGGGAGCAAACAG